UACGUAGGGUGCAAGCGUUGUCCGGAAUUAUUGGGCGUAAAGAGCUCGUAGGCGGUUUGUCGCGUCUGCUGUGAAAACUCGGGGCUUAACCCCGGGCCUGCAGUGGGUACGGGCAGACUAGAGUGCGGUAGGGGAGACUGGAAUUCCCGGUGUAGCGGUGAAAUGCGCAGAUAUCGGGAAGAACACCCGUGGCGAAGGCGGCUCUCUGGGACGGUACUGACGCUGAGACGCGGAAAAGCGUGGGGAGCGAACAGGA
rnacentral:rRNA from 1 species